rnacentral:rRNA from 1 species
GACGAACGCUGGCGGCGUGCCUAAUACAUGCAAGUAGAACGCAGUUGCGAACGGGUGAGUAACGCGUAGGUAACUGCCUGGUAGCGGGGGACAACUAUCGGAAACGAUAGCUAAUACCGCAUACUACCAGAUGGACCUGCGUUGUAUUAGCUAGUUGGUGGGGUAACGGCUCACCAAGGCAACGAUACAUAGCCGACCUGAGAGGGCAAACGGCCAAACUGGCGAUGAGACACGGGCCAGGCUUCUGCAGGAGGCAGCAGUGGCGAAAAUUCGGCGACAGACGGCAGUCUGACGGAACAAAGCAGCGUGAGUGAAGCAGGUUUUCGGAUCGUAAAGCUAUGUUGUAAGCGAAGCGGUAUCUGACCAGAAAGGGACGGCUAACUACGUGCCAGCAGCCGCGGUAAUUC